rnacentral:rRNA from 1 species
AGAUUGAACGCUGGCGGCAUGCUUUACACAUGCAAGUCGAACGGUAACAGGCCGCAAGGUGCUGACGAGUGGCGAACGGGUGAGUAAUGCAUCGGAACGUGCCCAGCCGUGGGGGAUAACGCAGCGAAAGCUGUGCUAAUACCGCAUACGAUCUAUGGAUGAAAGCGGGGGACCGAAAGGCCUCGCGCGAUUGGAGCGGCCGAUGUCAGAUUAGCUAGUUGGUGGGGUAAAGGCCCACCAAGGCGA